CUCCCCCAUCUAGCACGUAACCUAAUGGGAAAUCGACUCGGAAUUGAUUCAGUUUUAUCACCCAGGUAAUUGGUCUGUCUGUUGCAGCGGGACACACCUGGGCGCCGCGCCGGGCUGCCGUUUUGGCCCCGGCGCGCGUAAGUCUGGUGUGAGGGUUGGCAGGCUGGACAGACGUGAGAGAGGAGAGGAGAGGAGAGGUGGAAUGGAAAGUAGUACGUUAGACCUGUUUCAGACGUAUCGACCUUUCUCCGUGCAUUCCACCAUGACCGCCGCCCCUACCCGCCAGCCUCCAUUCUCAUAAUGUAAACUUUUGACAGUCUGGCACAAAUCUCUGCUUUCAAAACUAUCCUCCUACGGAUUUUUUUCCUUCUGUCUGUACUUUUAUAUCAAAUUUCAUUUCCGGCCGACCUAUCUGUGCUGUGGUACGCAGACACUGUUCUUCCCCUAUAAACCUAUCAACAGUCUGCUCUAUCUCCCACCCUCUUUCUGUUAUUCAUCAAUGAUUUUUUUUCCAAAACAAACAGUCCAUUCCACUCCUAUGCCGAUGACUCUACUCUGCAUUACCCAACAUGUGUUAACAAAAGACCAACAUAAAUUACAGGACGUUUGGCUGGGUGGGACUUAACCUCAGACCUUGCUAUCAUCUCUGGAUGGGGCAGGAAAAAUUUAGUCUUUCAAUGCCUCAAAAAGUCAGUUUCUUCACCUGCUAACUCGACACAGCCUUCCAAACACCUAUCCCCAAUUCUUCGACAACACUCAUCUGUUACUACCUUCUAACACAAUAUAUACAUUCUCGGUCUGUUCUUAACUCAAAAUCUUAACUGGAAACUUCAUAUCUCUCGCGAAAUCAGUCAUAAGAAAGUAGAGAUGAUUGGCCGAGAGUUUCCAUCUAUCCACACUUCCCGUCGCUUCUUGCAGUGUGGCGACAGGAAGUUCUAUGACGUGGGUUGAAUGAACGCUGGUUAAUAUCUCCAACUUUUUAUUCGUUUCAUCAUCUCAGAGAAUAAUAUAAAGUUACAGAAUACGAGAUCGGUAAUUCGUUUGCAAGAUAUGUGCGUAUAAAAUAUAAAGCUUUCUCUAUAGGGUUCAAUAAGGUGUGGAGAGAGAGAGAGAGAGAGAGAGAGAGAGAGAGAGAGAGAGAGAGAGAGAGAGAGAGAGAGAGAGAGAGAGAGAGAGAGAGAGAGAGAGAGAGAGAGAGAGAGAGAGAGAGAGAGAGAGAGACUGACUUCCCUGACCACAUUAAUGCAAACUCAAACAUUAAUCAUUUCAGCCAGUGAGGUCAGAGAGGGAACAAUAUUAGGCCAUGUGGGGCAUUUUUACACGGAUCGCUAUUUUACUUCGUCUUCAGGAAGUGUUCUAGACUCUACAAGCAUACAAAUAUAUAAAAAUAGUCGUAGCAUAUUAUGUACAGCGCUUGAAGUAAAUAUAUUGAGCGACUUCGAAUCUAUACAAUUUCGUUUCGUGAAAGUGAAACCACAACAGCUGACUUAUCUAUUGUUUAAGAGAGACCAAGGGCUGAACCAAACACAUAUAUGAUUAGAUACCCCCAAAAAUGCUGCUCCUGACGUGAGAAUAGUUAGGAAAAGUGAUAAUCAAAUGUAGCGCCAGGGAUGUCUUGUUAGGAGAGGCAAUAUAAGUAAAGCUCUUCCACGGCUUACAAGUGAAAAGGGAUGAGAAGGUAAAGAUACUGACUAGUUCAUUUGUUAGUUACUAGUAAAAGGGAUGAGAAGGGAAAGAUAUCGGCUAGUUCAUGUAUUAUAGCAACUAGCAAAAGGGGUGAGGAGAUGAAGAUAUUGGCUCGUUCAUGUAUUAUAGCAACUAGCGAAAGGGGUGAGGAGAUGAAGAUAUUGGCUAGUUAAUGUGCUAUAAUUACUAGUGAAAGGGAUGAUAAGGUAAAGAUAUUGGUUAUAGUGACUGGAUAGCAUAAUUGAUAUAGUGUUAUUGGUGUUAUUACUAUUUUCAUUUUCGCUGAGUUUGUUAUAUUGGUUCGGCUUUGUUACUGUUACCAUCUGUUGUAGUUUCAUUUUCACGCACAAAUAAGUUUAACGAACAUCUAUUGACUUGAGUUGCUUGGUGUCUCAUCCUCUAACUGGCUGAGGCACACUGCAACAACAACCUGGGAAUCUUGUCCCUGCUGAUAUCAAGGAACACAAGAAGCACGGAGGAACACGAGAAGCGAUAGAAGUGAAUGAACUGAAGAGACGCGAAGAAGCGCGAUGAUAAAAGAAGCAUAAAAAGCGCAGGAGGGAAGCUUUUGAACAGGACAACAAAACAAAGAAAUAUGGAUGUUUUCACUCCCUUUUGACGUUCGUAACCUUGAUAGGAAGAGGAGAAUACAAUGAACAAGGGACGCAAAGGGAAAUGAAGAUAAAAGAAGCAUAAGAAGCGCAGGAGGAAAUUUUUUGAACAGGUAAACAAAAAAAUAUUGAAAUAAGGACGUUUUUUCACUCCCGUUUUACGUCUAUAAGCUUGAUAUGAAAACACACACACACACACACACACACACACACACACACACACACACACAUCAUGCCCACUAAAAUCAUCAUCACUACUGCAAACAGAGCAACUUAUAAAGAAAAUGAGAAAAGAUUUGACACUACGAAGAUUCCCAUUCAAAAAUAUAUUCCCCCAAACAAUAACUAUAUAGUACAUCAGCAGAGCAACUUAGAGAGAACAGGAAGGGAGGUUUUACACUAUACGCAGAACACCAUUCAGCAAGAUUACAUUACUGACGUGCUGAGAAAGGUUUAUAGAAGACAAGCAAAACAAAUUUAAUGAAGAGUGAAAGGUUAAAGAGAACGAGCAAAACAAAUUAAGAAUGAAAGAUUGAAGAGAACGAGAAAAACAAAUGAAGAAUGAGAAGUUGAAGAAGACGAAAAAAACAAUGAGGGUUGAAAGUUUGAAGAGAACGAGAAAAACAAAUGAAGAAUGAAAAAUUGAAGAGAACGAGCAAAACAAAUGAAGGAUGAUGAAAGAUUGAAGAGAACGAGCAAAACAUAUGAAGG